GACUUCUGAUGCCCCUCUCCCCAGAAUGUCUCAAUGAAGACCUUGGCUUCCUGUGCUGGAGAUAACGUUCAACUGGAUUUGCAGAACGAGGCUGUGCUUCCAGGUCCAGCUCUGGAUUCUGCUUGCCUGGAGGAGAAUUGCCAAAGCUUUUGGUACUGGAAUGUGUCCAUGCCUAAAAUAAGGGGUAUUGUUAACGUGGCCCAGAGACUUCAGAAGAGCCGGGAUGAAGAUGUAAUUAGAGCUUGUGAAGGUUUUCCACUUCCUGGAUGGAAGGCAAGGCUGUGGCAGUUUCCUAUCUACCUACCCUGCCUUUCAUGUUGCUCCACCUCCUCUGGCUUUCCUUGGGGGGGGGCGUGUUGCAUAAAUGUUACUGGGUAUUCAUUUCAAAAUAGAUCUCUUUCCACUUCAGGGCAGAAUUU
rnacentral:lncRNA from 1 species